GUUAGAAUCCGAGAGGAUUCUAAUUUUGGUUUUUCAACACGUGUGAAAAACGCUAUCUAAAGCUAGGGAAGUUUCCUUAAUGCUUUAAACUCUUAUUUUGUCAUUAAUUUAUUUAAUUAUAUAAGUCAUAUGUUAGCAAGGAAUUUCUUGGACAAAGACUUUCCUUACUACAUAAUUUUGUUUCCUCACGUAAGAUUCUCACUAACCUAAUGGGCUCCAAUUUUGUAGGGCUCUUCUAUUCAGGAAUAUAAUUACAGGAGUAUCAACGUUUUGUUGUUCACGCCUUUUUGGAGAGAAAAUUAUAUUUUUCUGCUCUUUUGAUUGCUGCUCUAGGAACGUCUAUUUUAUCGAGA
rnacentral:lncRNA from 1 species